rnacentral:rRNA from 1 species
AGUCGAACGAGCAAAGAGGAGCUUGCUUCUCUGAGCGAGUGGCGAACGGGUGAGUAACGCGUGAGGAACCUGCCUCAAAGAGGGGGACAACAGUUGGAAACGACUGCUAAUACCGCAUAAGCCCACAGGUCGGCAUCGACCAGAGGGAAAAGGAGCAAUCCGCUUUGAGAUGGCCUCGCGUCCGAUUAGCUAGUUGGUGAGGUAAUGGCCCACCAAGGCAACGAUCGGUAGCCGGACUGAGAGGUUGAACGGCCACAUUGGGACUGAGACACGGCCCAGACUCCUACGGGAGGCAGCAGUGGGGAAUAUUGCACAAUGGGGGAAACCCUGAUGCAGCGACGCCGCGUGGAGGAAGAAGGUCUUCGGAUUGUAAACUCCUGUUGUUGAGGAAGAUAAUGACGGUACUCAACAAGGAAGUGACGGCUAACUACGUGCCAGCAGCCGCGGUAAAACGUAGGUCACAAGCGUUGUCCGGAAUUACUGGGUGUAAAGGGAGCGCAGGCGGGAAGACAAGUUGGAAGUGAAAUCCAUGGGCUCAACCCAUGAACUGCUUUCAAAACUGUUUUUCUUGAGUAGUGCAGAGGUAGGCGGAAUCCCCGGUGUAGCGGUGGAAUGCGUAGAUAUCGGGAGGAACACCAGUGGCGAAGGCGGCCUACUGGGCACCAACUGACGCUGAGGCUCGAAAGUGUGGGUAGCAAACAGGAUUAGAUACCCUGGUAGUCCACACCGUAAACGAUGAUUACUAGGUGUUGGAGGAUUGACCCCUUCAGUGCCGCAGUUAACACAAUAAGUAAUCCACCUGGGG